rnacentral:rRNA from 1 species
CAGUAGCCGCGGUAAUACGUAGGUGGCAAGCGUUGUCCGGAAUUAUUGGGCGUAAAGGGCUCGCUGGCGGUUUCUUAAGUCUGAUGUGAAAGCCCCCGGCUCAACCGGGGAGGGUCAUUGGAAACUGGGAAACUUGAGUGCAGAAGAGGAGAGUGGAAUUCCACGUGUAGCGGUGAAAUGCGUAGAGAUGUGGAGGAACACCAGUGGCGAAGGCGACUCUCUGGUCUGUAACUGACGCUGAGGAGCGAAAGCGUGGGGAGCGAACAGGAUUAGAUACCCCCGUAGUCCCUGUCUCUUAUAC